rfam:Schistosoma curassoni strain Dakar, Senegal genome assembly, scaffold: SCTD_scaffold0003571
AACUUUUCGAAUUCGUGCACAGAUUUCGUCAAACACCAACCCAUUAGGGCAGAUAACACUUCCAAGAUAAGUGAAGUU